UUAAGCGACUAAGCGUACACGGUGGAUGCCCUGGCAGUCAGAGGCGAUGAAGGACGUGCUAAUCUGCGAAAAGCGUCGGUAAGGUGAUAUGAACCGUUAUAACCGGCGAUGUCCGAAUGGGGAAACCCAGUGCAAUUCGUUGCACUAUCGUUAACUGAAUACAUAGGUUAACGAGGCGAACCGGGGGAACUGAAACAUCUAAGUACCCCGAGGAAAAGAAAUCAACCGAGAUUCCCCCAGUAGCGGCGAGCGAACGGGGAGCAGCCCAGAGUCUGAAUCAGCUUGUGUGUUAGUGGAACGGUCUGGAAAGUCCGACGGUACAGGGUGAUAGUCCCGUACACCAAAAUGCACAGGCUGUGAACUCGAAGAGUAGGGCGGGACACGUGGUAUCCUGUCUGAAUAUGGGGGGACCAUCCUCCAAGGCUAAAUACUCCUGACUGACCGAUAGUGAACCAGUACCGUGAGGGAAAGGCGAAAAGAACCCCGGCGAGGGGAGUGAAAAAGAACCUGAAACCGUGUACGUACAAGCAGUGGGAGCACCUUCGGGUGUGACUGCGUACCUUUUGUAUAAUGGGUCAGCGACUUAUAUUCUGUAGCAAGGUUAACCGUAUAGGGGAGCCGCAGGGAAACCGAGUCUUAACUGGGCGUUAAGUUGCAGGGUAUAGACCCGAAACCCGGUGAUCUAGCCAUGGGCAGGUUGAAGGUUGGGUAACACUAACUGGAGGACCGAACCGACUAAUGUUGAAAAAUUAGCGGAUGACUUGUGGCUGGGGGUGAAAGGCCAAUCAAACCGGGAGAUAGCUGGUUCUCCCCGAAAGCUAUUUAGGUAGCGCCUCGUGAACUCAUCUUCGGGGGUAGAGCACUGUUUCGGCUAGGGGGUCAUCCCGACUUACCAACCCGAUGCAAACUACGAAUACCGAAGAAUGUUAUCACGGGAGACACACGGCGGGUGCUAACGUCCGUCGUGAAGAGGGAAACAACCCAGACCGCCAGCUAAGGUCCCAAAGUCAUGGUUAAGUGGGAAACGAUGUGGGAAGGCACAGACAGCCAGGAUGUUGGCUUAGAAGCAGCCAUCAUUUAAAGAAAGCGUAAUAGCUCACUGGUCGAGUCGGCCUGCGCGGAAGAUGUAACGGGGCUAAACCAUGCACCGAAGCUGCGGCAGCGACACUAUGUGUUGUUGGGUAGGGGAGCGUUCUGUAAGCCUGCGAAGGUGUGCUGUGAGGCAUGCUGGAGGUAUCAGAAGUGCGAAUGCUGACAUAAGUAACGAUAAAGCGGGUGAAAAGCCCGCUCGCCGGAAGACCAAGGGUUCCUGUCCAACGUUAAUCGGGGCAGGGUGAGUCGACCCCUAAGGCGAGGCCGAAAGGCGUAGUCGAUGGGAAACAGGUUAAUAUUCCUGUACUUGGUGUUACUGCGAAGGGGGGACGGAGAAGGCUAUGUUAGCCGGGCGACGGUUGUCCCGGUUUAAGCAUGUAGGCUGGUUAUCCAGGCAAAUCCGGAUAAUCAAGGCUGAGGUGUGAUGACGAGGCACUACGGUGCUGAAGUAACAAAUGCCCUGCUUCCAGGAAAAGCCUCUAAGCAUCAGGUAACAUCAAAUCGUACCCCAAACCGACACAGGUGGUCAGGUAGAGAAUACCAAGGCGCUUGAGAGAACUCGGGUGAAGGAACUAGGCAAAAUGGUGCCGUAACUUCGGGAGAAGGCACGCUGGUGUGUAGGUGAAGUCCCUGCGGAUGGAGCUGAGACCAGUCGAAGAUACCAGCUGGCUGCAACUGUUUAUUAAAAACACAGCACUGUGCAAACACGAAAGUGGACGUAUACGGUGUGACGCCUGCCCGGUGCCGGAAGGUUAAUUGAUGGGGUUAUCCGUAAGGAGAAGCUCUUGAUCGAAGCCCCGGUAAACGGCGGCCGUAACUAUAACGGUCCUAAGGUAGCGAAAUUCCUUGUCGGGUAAGUUCCGACCUGCACGAAUGGCGUAAUGAUGGCCAGGCUGUCUCCACCCGAGACUCAGUGAAAUUGAACUCGCUGUGAAGAUGCAGUGUACCCGCGGCAAGACGGAAAGACCCCGUGAACCUUUACUAUAGCUUGACACUGAACAUUGAGCCUUGAUGUGUAGGAUAGGUGGGAGGCUUUGAAGCGUGGACGCCAGUCUGCGUGGAGCCAACCUUGAAAUACCACCCUUUAAUGUUUGAUGUUCUAACGUUGGCCCCUGACCGGGGUUGCGGACAGUGUCUGGUGGGUAGUUUGACUGGGGCGGUCUCCUCCCAAAGCGUAACGGAGGAGCACGAAGGUUAGCUAAUCCUGGUCGGACAUCAGGAGGUUAGUGCAAUGGCAUAAGCUAGCUUGACUGCGAGCGUGACGGCGCGAGCAGGUGCGAAAGCAGGUCAUAGUGAUCCGGUGGUUCUGAAUGGAAGGGCCAUCGCUCAACGGAUAAAAGGUACUCCGGGGAUAACAGGCUGAUACCGCCCAAGAGUUCAUAUCGACGGCGGUGUUUGGCACCUCGAUGUCGGCUCAUCACAUCCUGGGGCUGAAGUAGGUCCCAAGGGUAUGGCUGUUCGCCAUUUAAAGUGGUACGCGAGCUGGGUUUAGAACGUCGUGAGACAGUUCGGUCCCUAUCUGCCGUGGGCGCUGGAGAAUUGAGGGGGGCUGCUCCUAGUACGAGAGGACCGGAGUGGACGCAUCACUGGUGUUCGGGUUGUCAUGCCAAUGGCACUGCCCGGUAGCUAAAUGCGGAAGAGAUAAGUGCUGAAAGCAUCUAAGCACGAAACUUGCCCCGAGAUGAGUUCUCCCUGAGACUAUAAGUCUCCUGAAGGAACGUUAAAGACGAUGACGUUGAUAGGCCGGGUGUGUAAGCGCAGCGAUGCGUUGAGCUAACCGGUACUAAUGAACCGUGAGGCUUAACCUU
rnacentral:rRNA from 4 species